GGGCCCGCACAAGCAGUGGAGUAUGUGGUUUAAUUCGAAGCAACGCGAAGAACCUUACCAGGUCUUGACAUCCAACUAACGAAGCAGAGAUGCAUCAGGUGCCCUUCGGGGAAAGUUGAGACAGGUGGUGCAUGGUUGUCGUCAGCUCGUGUCGUGAGAUGUUGGGUUAAGUCCCGCAACGAGCGCAACCCUUGCCAUUAGUUGCUACGCAAGAGCACUCUAAUGGGACCGCUACCGACAAGGUGGAGGAAGGUGGGGACGACGUCAAAUCAUCAUGCCCCUUAUGACCUGGGCUACACACGUACUACAAUGGCCGUCAACAGAGGGAAGCGAACACGCGAGUGGGAGCAAACCCCCAAAAGCGGUCUCAGUUCAGAUCGCAGGCUGCAACCCGCCUGCGUGAAGUCGGAAUUGCUAGUAAUCGCGGAUCAGCAUGCCG
rnacentral:rRNA from 1 species